rnacentral:sRNA from 1 species
UACGGCGGCGAGGUUUGAUACGACGGCGACGA